rnacentral:rRNA from 1 species
GACGAACGCUGGCGGCGUGCCUAAUACAUGCCAGUAGAACGCUGAAGAGAGGAGCUUACUCUUCUUGGAUGAGUUGCGAACGGGUGAGUAACGCGUAGGUAACCUGCCUUGUAGCGGGGGAUAACUAUUGGAAACGAUAGCUAAUACCGCAUAACAAUGGAUGACACAUGUCAUUUAUUUGAAAGGGGCAAUUGCUCCACUACAAGAUGGACCUGCGUUGUAUUAGCUAGUAGGUGAGGUAAUGGCUCACCUAGGCGACGAUACAUAGCCGACCUGAGAGGGUGAUCGGCCACACUGGGACUGAGACACGGCCCAGACUCCUACGGGAGGCAGCAGUAGGGAAUCGUCGGCAAUGGGGGCAACCCUGACCGAGCAACGCCGCGUGAGUGAAGAAGGGUUUCGGAUCGUAAAGCUCUGUUGUAAGUCAAGAACGGGUGUGAGAGUGGAAAGUUCACACUGUGACGGUAGCUUACCAGAAAGGGACGGCUAACUACGUG